rnacentral:rRNA from 1 species
CGACGACGGGUAGCCGGCCUGAGAGGGCGACCGGCCACACUGGGACUGAGACACGGCCCAGACUCCUACGGGAGGCAGCAGUGGGGAAUAUUGCACAAUGGGCGCAAGCCUGAUGCAGCGACGCCGCGUGAGGGAUGACGGCCUUCGGGUUGUAAACCUCUUUCAGCAGGGAAGAAGCGCAAGUGACGGUACCUGCAGAAGAAGCACCGGCUAACUACGUGCCAGCAGCCGCGGCG